rnacentral:rRNA from 1 species
UACAGAGGGGGCAAGCGUUAUUCGGAAUUAUUGGGCGUAAAGGGCGCGUAGGCGGCUUGGCAAGUGGAUGGUGAAAUCCCUCGGCUUAACCGAGGAACUGCCGUCCAAACUGCUUCGCUUGAGACCGGGAGAGGUGAGUGGAAUUCCCAGUGUAGCGGUGAAAUGCGUAGAUAUUGGGGAGGAACACCAGUGGCGAAGGCGGCUCACUGGACCGGUACUGACGCUGAUGCGCGAAAAGCGUGGGGGAGCGAACAGGG